AGAGUUUGAUCCUGGCUCAGGAUGAACGCUAGCUACAGGCUUAACACAUGCAAGUCGAGGGGCAGCAUGAACUUAGCUUGCUAAGUUUGAUGGCGACCGGCGCACGGGUGAGUAACACGUAUCCAACCUGCCGAUGACUCGGGGAUAGCCUUUCGAAAGAAAGAUUAAUACCCGAUGGCAUAGUUCUUCCGCAUGGUAGAACUAUUAAAGAAUUUCGGUCAUCGAUGGGGAUGCGUUCCAUUAGGUUGUUGGCGGGGUAACGGCCCACCAAGCCUUCGAUGGAUAGGGGUUCUGAGAGGAAGGUCCCCCACAUUGGAACUGAGACACGGUCCAAACUCCUACGGGAGGCAGCAGUGAGGAAUAUUGGUCAAUGGACGAGAGUCUGAACCAGCCAAGUAGCGUGAAGGAUGACUGCCCUAUGGGUUGUAAACUUCUUUUAUACGGGAAUAAAGUGAGGCACGUGUGCCUUUUUGUAUGUACCGUAUGAAUAAGGAUCGGCUAACUCCGUGCCAGCAGCCGCGGUAAUACGGAGGAUCCGAGCGUUAUCCGGAUUUAUUGGGUUUAAAGGGAGCGUAGGCGGACGCUUAAGUCAGUUGUGAAAGUUUGCGGCUCAACCGUAAAAUUGCAGUUGAUACUGGGUGUCUUGAGUACAGUAGAGGCAGGCGGAAUUCGUGGUGUAGCGGUGAAAUGCUUAGAUAUCACGAAGAACUCCGAUUGCGAAGGCAGCCUGCUGGACUGUAACUGACGCUGAUGCUCGAAAGUGUGGGUAUCAAACAGGAUUAGAUACCCUGGUAGUCCACACAGUAAACGAUGAAUACUCGCUGUUUGCGAUAUACAGUAAGCGGCCAAGCGAAAGCGUUAAGUAUUCCACCUGGGGAGUACGCCGGCAACGGUGAAACCCAAAGGAAUUGACGGGGGCCCGCACAAGCGGAGGAACAUGUGGUUUAAUUCGAUGAUACGCGAGGAACCUUACCCGGGCUUGAAUUGCAACUGAAUGAUGUGGAGACAUGUCAGCCGCAAGGCAGUUGUGAAGGUGCUGCAUGGUUGUCGUCAGCUCGUGCCGUGAGGUGUCGGCUUAAGUGCCAUAACGAGCGCAACCCUUAUCGAUAGUUACCAUCAGGUUAUGCUGGGGACUCUGUCGAGACUGCCGUCGUAAGAUGUGAGGAAGGUGGGGAUGACGUCAAAUCAGCACGGCCCUUACGUCCGGGGCUACACACGUGUUACAAUGGGGGGUACAGAAGGCAGCUACACGGCGACGUGAUGCUAAUCCCGAAAGCCUCUCUCAGUUCGGAUUGGAGUCUGCAACCCGACUCCAUGAAGCUGGAUUCGCUAGUAAUCGCGCAUCAGCCACGGCGCGGUGAAUACGUUCCCGGGCCUUGUACACACCGCCCGUCAAGCCAUGAAAGCCGGGGGUACCUGAAGUGCGUAACCGCGAGGAGCGCCCUAGGGUAAAACUGGUGAUUGGGGCUAAGUCGUAACAAGGUAGCCG
rnacentral:rRNA from 1 species